CUUUGGGAUAUCAGCUUGAAUUAAACUGCUAAUCCAUGUCUCGUUGUAAAAAAAAAACAGUCUUUUGAUUUUUUAUUUAAAAAGUAGGGACUUAAAAGAUAGAUUUUUUUUCUGUGAACUCAAACAUGGCAUAUUUACUUAUGUGUUAGCAAGACACUAAAAUUAAUUGUAAAUAACUGUUUAGGCUAUGCUCUAGGUCAGAUUUCUGUUUAGAGAAUGCUACCUUUUCGAUGAAUGCUGGAAAACUAUACAGAAUGGUUAACAGAUUCUUGAAAUUUACUUGCAGUUCAUGGAAACGUUUAAACAGGGGUUUAAGAAGAUGUAUCCAGCGGGUUUUUAUUAAGGUUGAGGACUUCUAAAUAUGUUGUCAUCAUUUGCUAUGUAUUCAAUAACUUUUUAUACAGCAGAGUAAGAAUGGGAGUUUUAUAAGGGUAAGAACAAAAACUUACAAAAGGAUACCUAAUCAAUAAACCUUCAGAACCUCUACUAUAGCUCAAGAAAAUAACUGAUCUUUACGGUUGUUUCUAAUUUUAAACUUGCAUGAUUCUAUGAAAAACUUGAUUACUUCGUGAAUACUAAUUUAAUGAAAAAUUUUGCAUUGAACAUUUAUGCAGUGCUGGAAGCUGUGGCUGUAUACGUGCAAGUUCAAUAUUUAUGACUCUGUGUUGGGCAGAAAAAUGGCCUCCCAAAAAGGUCCAUGUUCCAAACCCCAGAAUUUAUAUUAUGCUAUAUUACAAAGGUAAGUUACGGUGACAGAUGUAAUUAAAGUUGCUUAUCAUUUUAUUCUAAAAUAGGAAGAUUUUCCUGGAUUAUCCAGAUGGGCCAAAUGUAACCACAAAUGUCCUUACAAGAGAGAGGCAGAAGUGAUGGGAUGUGAGAAAGACCUAAGAGCCAUUGUUGGCUUUGAAGAUGAAAAGAUGCCCAAGAAUGAAAGAUUGGGCAGCUUCUACAAAUGAGAAAGUGAGGCUCCCCUAGAUUCUCAAGAAAGAAACAGAGCCCUCCUGACACCCUGAUUUUAGCCUGCCAUGACUCACUUCAAAUAUCUGACAUCCAGUGCUGUUCUGGUAAACCAACUCUUAAAAAACAAGAAACAAAAACUCUGAUGGGUAGCAUUUGUCAUUUUUUGUCAUGUAAAUAUCCCCACCAUGGCUAAUUACAGCAUCGCAUCAUUAAAUGUACAGCUGUGAAGACCUGUACAAAUGGCUCUCACAGGCCCAUAGGAGCAAGUCCCAGCACCUCACUUUUGUGUUUUCCAGUUAAUAAACUCAGAAGAAGAAAAAAAAGAA